UAAAAAAAUUUAAAAGUUUUACCAUUUAGUUUUUAUGUGCUCCCAAACAUGAAAGCGUUGAUCGUAGAAUCACUUUUGCUCCCCACUGUAUAUACACGUACAUGCAUAUGUAUGCUAGCCUGUGUAUGAACACAGACAUGUGUGCUUCUAUCUAAUGAAGAUCAUAUUUGCAAUCCUGCAGCUGCAAUCGCUUCUCAAUAAUAGCUUAUGCUGGCAUAAUGGAUUGGCCUUUUCAGGCGCUACCAUCUAUCGCGUUCAGAAACCUGGUUGUUCGAGUGUAAUGAGUGUUUUUCUUUUCUGUUAAAAGCCAAAACAAGUUAAGGAAAUCAAAACAAAGUGAUUUUGAGUUGGUUGAUAAAUUCUUUACACACUUUUCUUUACUUUAUUAAUUAUUAAAAGGUUACUAGAGUUAAAAAUAUCAAAUUUUAAUUAAAAUUUCUCCAUAUAAAAUUCUUGACACAUUGAAAAUCGAUGGAAGGUCCGCGAGAAGCGUUAAAACUAUUAAAUAAAUUAUUAUUUUAUUUUUUUAUUUAUCUAAAAACCACAAUAACAGGUUCAUUCUGUAAUAAAAUUUCCCCUUCAAUAAAGUUUGUUACUAUUUCGUAUUCUGAGUUCACUGUCACCCUACAAAUUUUGAUACCCGCCAAGUAGGCUGUUGUUUGAUUUUAUGUGGAUAAUUUGAGAAAAAAAAAAACAAAAACCAAAAUGUAUAGACAUAACGACAGUACGUCUGGAAUUUAAUUGGUGAUGAAGAAAAAAGUGAAAAAACGUUCUUGUUAAGAGAACGCAAACGUAAACACCAGCACCAGCAACAGCACCAACAACCUAUUUUGAACAUUUACACCAAUUGUACGAAGAGCAAUAACCGGUUUCUUGCAACAACAACAAGUGCAAUAUCUUAAACAAACAAGCGAACGUCCAUUGAAAAUAUGUAAAUACACACAUACAUAUGUAUGUAUAUUAUGUACGUGUAAAUAACAAGAAAAACCAAAUAAGUUAGUAACGAAUGUUGGUGGAGUAUCAAACGGAAGAUAAAUAGGUAGGUGAAAAUCAAAACACAACAAUAAGCACCUUGGGGGAACGAUUUUAAAGGCACGUUGCUGGAUACAUGUAAGUAAAAUUCCAAUGCGCGCGUCGCGUCGCGAUCACAAGGAAUGUUGCUGCACUGCACCUUUAUUUCAACGCAUAAGAAAGCAGCAUCAAUAAUUAUGUGUAGAAAAAUUAAUUCAGAUACACAUACAUAUAAAU